rnacentral:lncRNA from 1 species
CUGGCAACUGAUACUCUCAAUCUGGCUUGCAGACAGAAAGGCAGUGUGGAAGUGUCUUCAUGAAGGAAACCAACUUUGGAGCUGCCUGGGAAUUGGAUCAUCUUUAAGAAGAGGUUGAGUUUCUCCCUCCUUCGUGAUGCAUUGCUGAUACAGAAUCCUAAGGAGAAAGCCUCCCAAUCCAGCCCCACUCUAAAUCAGGGGCCUCUCCCUGAAGACAAUCUGGAACCAUCUAUUUUCUUUAUUGAAGUUGGAAGCUGAAAAGAUCAGGAAAGACUUCUUUCACAAAUUUUCACCAACUCCACCCUUCAGGCUGACAAGGAUCAUUGAAUGAUCAGUCUCUUCCAGUGAAGAAAGUCUUAUAUUAUAAAGCCUGUGAUUUAUUGAAAUUCAGUCUUGAAGCACUGAAGAUUAUUCCCCUAGUAUUGGAACAAGGUACAGAAGAAAUCAAGCUUCUCUUUUAUUCAAAAAUUCUUUGGAAAAUAUUCAUAGCUGUGCUCUUUGUGGUGGCCAAAAAUUGGAAAACGAGGGGAUGCCCAUCAAUUGGGGAAUGGCUGAACAAAUUGUGGUAUAUGUUGGUGAUGGAAUAUUAUUGUGCAAAAAGGAAUAAUAAAGUGGAGGAAUUCCAUGGAGACUGGAACAACCUCCAGGAAGUGAUGCAGAGCGAGAGGAGCAGAACCAGGAGAACAUUGUACACAGAGACAAACACACUGUGGUAUAAUUGAACGUAAUGGACUUCUCCAUUAGUGGCGGUGUAAUGUCCCUGAACAAUCUGCAGGGAUCUAGGAGAAAAAACACUAUCCAUAAGCAAAGGACAAACUGUGGGAGUAGAAACACCGAGGAAAAGCAACUGCCUGACUACAGCGGUUGAGGGGACAUGACAGAGGAGAGACUCUAAACGAACACUCUAAUGCAAAUAUUAACAACAUGGCAAUGGGUUUGAAUCAAGAACACAUGUGAUACCCAGUGGAAUCAUGUGUUGGCUACGGGGAGUGGGAGGGAGGAAAAGAAAAUGAUCUUUGUCUUUAAUGAAUAAUGCAUGGAAAUGAUCAAAUAAAAUACUAUAA